rnacentral:rRNA from 1 species
UCAUUCCUACGGACGCAGCAGGGAAUUUUCGUCAAUGGGCGCAAGCCUGAACGAGCAAUGCCGCGUGAACGAGGAAGGUCUUCGGAUCGUAAAGUUCUGUUGAAGGGGAAAAAGAGCGGAGAGAGGAAAUGAACUCCGAUUGAUAUUACCCUUCGAGGAAGUCACGGCUAACUACGUGCCAGCAGCCGCGGUAAUACGUAGGUGGCGAGCGUUAUCCGGAAUGAUUGGGCGUAAAGGGUGCGUAGGCGGCCUGCUAAGUCUGGAGUGAAAGGUACCGGCUCAACCGGUACAGGCUCUGGAAACUG